GUUCUUGUAGCUUACACUCAAAGCAUGACACUGAAGAUGUCAAGACGCUGCUCACGCACCCAAGGAC
rnacentral:tRNA from 1 species